AGAAAGGGUGGAAAAGACUCCUUUGGAUUGAUGAUUUUCUCUGCUUUAAAGAGAAGAAGUGACCAAGACGACAACUUUUCUGGCUUUGCCAAAAGGAGAACAGUUUCCAUGUGAUGAAGCAAAGAAAGCAGAGAAUAUUCCAAGAAACCGAUAUAAAACUACAUUUCCCUACGAUCACUCUCGUGUGGUGUUACAGUGCAGCUCACAAAAAGAGUCCGACUACAUAAAUGCAAACUAUUUGGAG